rnacentral:rRNA from 1 species
AUUGAACGCUGGCGGAAUGCUUUACACAUGCAAGUCGAGCGGCAGCGCGGGGCAACCUGGCGGCGAGCGGCGAACGGGUGAGUAAUGCAUCGGAACGUACCCCGUCGUGGGGGAUAACUACCCGAAAGGGUAGCUAAUACCGCAUACGGACCUGAGGGUGAAAGCGGGGGACCGAAAGGCCUCGCGCAAUGGGAGCGGCCGAUGCCGGAUUAGCUAGUUGGUAGGGUAAAGGCCUACCAAGGCGACGAUCCGUAGCUGGUCUGAGAGGACGACCAGCCACACUGGAACUGAGACACGGUCCAGACUCCUACGGGAGGCAGCAGUGGGGAAUUUUGGACAAUGGGCGAAAGCCUGAUCCAGCCAUUCCGCGUGAGUGAAGAAGGCCUCGGUGUAAG